GAUGAACGCUGGCGGCGUGCCUAACACAUGCAAGUCGAGCGAACAGACGAGGAUCUUGCUCCUCUGACGUUAGCGGCGGACGGGUGAGUAACACGUGGAUAACCACCCUAUAAGACUGGGAUAACUUCGGGAAACCGGAGCUAAUACCGGGUAAUAUAUUGAACCGCAUGGUUCAGUAGGGAAAGACGGUUUUGCUGGCACUUGUAGAUGGUUCCGCGCCGCAUGAGCGAGUUGGUAAGGUAACGGCUUGCCAAGGGGCCGAGGCGUAGCCGACCUGUGAGAGUGUUCGCCGACACUGGGACUGAGCCACGGUCCAGACUCCUACGGGAGGCAGAAGUAGGGAAUCUUCCGCACAAGGGGCAAGCCUGACGUAGCAACGCGGCGUGUGUGGGGAAGGUCCUCGGGGCGUGAGACCCUGUUACGAGGGAAGAACAAAUGCGUAAGUAACUGUGGACGUCGUGACGGUACCUAAUCAGAAAGCCCCGGCUAACUACGUG
rnacentral:rRNA from 1 species